rnacentral:rRNA from 1 species
CGGAGGGGGCGAGCGUUAUUCGGAAUUAUUGGGCGUAAAGGGCGCGUAGGCGGCUUGAUAAGUCAAAGGUGAAAUCCCUCGGCUCAACUGAGGAACUGCCUUUGAAACUGUCUGGCUUGAGGCCGGGAGGGGGUAGCGGAAUUCCCAGUGUAGCGGUGAAAUGCGUAGAUAUUGGGAGGAACACCGGUGGCGAAGGCGGCUACCUGGACCGGUUCUGACACUGAUGCGCGAAAGCGUGGGUAGCAAACAGGAUUAGAUACCCUGGUAGUCCACGCUGUAAACGAUGGGUGCUCGGUGUCGCGGGUAUCGACCCCUGCGGUGCCUUAGCUAACGCGUUAAGCACCCCGCCUGGGGAGUACGGUCGCAAGGCUG